rnacentral:rRNA from 1 species
UACGGAGGGUGCGAGCGUUAUCCGGAAUUACUGGGUUUUUAAAGGGUGCGUAGGCGGCGCAGUAAGUCAGGAGUGAAAGUUUGCGGCUCAACCGUAAAAAUUUGCUUUUUUGAUACUGCUGUGCUAGAAUUAGGAUGAGGUCAGCGGAAUGUGGCAUGUAGCGGUGAAAUGCAUAGAUAUGCCAUAGAACACCAAUUGCGAAGGCAGCUGGCUAGACCUAUAUUGACGCUGAGGCACGAAAGCGUGGGGAGCGAACAGG